AUGGUCGAUGCUUCUGAGCAACAUAGGCCCACAUGGAUUCCAUGUGGCCUGGCAUCCACUGUGCACCCUGUGCUGGCGGGUGGCUCAGGAUGGAGUAGUUGCCUUGCGAUGCCCACUGCCUGCUGGCACAGCAGAUGGUCAGUUCUUCUGAGCAGUGGAGUCCCCACGGAGUCGUGGAGUCGGUGUGGCCUGGCAUCCACGGUGUACCCUGUGCUGGUGGAUGGCUCAGGACGGUGCAGCUUUCCUGGGAGGCAUGGCACCUGCUGGAAGGAAGAUAGUCGAUUCUCCUGA
rnacentral:lncRNA from 1 species